rnacentral:rRNA from 1 species
UACGUAGGGGGCAAGCGUUGUCCGGAUUUAUUGGGCGUAAAGAGCUCGUAGGCGGUUCCGUAAGUCGAGUGUGAAAAAUCUGGGCUCAACCCAGUGGAGCACUCGAUACUGCGGUGACUGGAGUACGGUAGAGGAGUGUGGGAUUCCUGGUGUAGCGGUGAAAUGCGCAGAUAUCAGGAGGAACACCAACGGCGAAGGCAGCACUCUGGGCCGGUACUGACGCUGAGGAGCGAAAGCGUGGGGAGCGAACAGG